AUGCUGCAGAGAGACAGUGAAAGAGCUGUGUGCAAUGGCUGCAUCUGUUCUUGUGACGGUCCUGUCCCGACAAGCAAAGUGGUACUCUGUGUUAUCAUCCUGCCGAUGAGGAAGCCAGGACCAAAGAGGCUGAAGUGGGUGGUCAGAGCUCCCACUGACCUGGAAGCACAGCUCUGAGCUGGACAAGGAGCAGUGGAGAGAGGAAAGGGAUGGGAUUGUCCCCUAGGAGACAGGCAUCCAAAUAUCUGUCUCCCAUGCUUUCCCCACAGAUGUAUGCAAUCAGCCAAAGAUUAUAGGUUCCUGUGGGCGUAACAUGCCACGCUGGUGGUAUAAUAAAGAAACUGGGUCCUGUUCUGAAUUCAUGUAUGGUGGUUGCCACAGGAACCUUAACAACUUCCCAACUGAAAGUGUCUGUACGUCCAUCUGUAAAGUAUCACGCAAAUAUUCCUGGAUGUGAUAAGGUUGAGCUGGAAGAAGCUCCAGGUCUUGGCUCCUAAUCCGAGACUUCCUUCUGUGAGCCCAGCAGAUGCUCUGGAUUGGCUGACACUGGCCAAGUCUUAGCCACUAAGACUUUGGCUGUUCCCAAACAGAACCCCAGAACUUGCUUAUUCCCUUCCCCCCACCCCAGCUUCUCUUCAGGUAUAAUCCCUUUCAUCCUUUGACCCCUUCUCAGUGUAAGACCCCAUCACCUCUUCUUUCAGUGUUCUCAUUCAUUCCUAUGGAGGCUCUAGUUCUUCCUAAUAAAGGAUCCUGUGAAUUCU